rnacentral:lncRNA from 1 species
AGGAAAAGGAGUGAUGAUUUUGUUUUCCCGGCAGUUUUAUCAGUAUUUUUAGUGCAGUUUUUGUAUUAUUCACGCCUGUGACUGCAGUCAACCAGGUCUGCCUGAUGUACCACUUACAUAGCAGCCCAGCAAGGAAACUCAACAUACAGGGGAAGACACCAGUUUAAUGACAACAGUAUUAUACAGGGCACCAGCGAGGAGGAAAGCAGUGCAGUGCAUGGAAUACAUGGAAUGCUUUUCCAGCCUGAGCGCAGCAGUUUGCAGAGAAGACUAAAUGCUGCAUGUUGAAGCCCACAGGUGAUUGUACAGCUGGGAGGAGCAGCUGACACACGAGCUGUCGUGCCCUGUUCCGACAGACAAGCCGGAGCAGUGGGCAGAAAGCAGGCUUACAGGGUUCUACAAAAGGAAAUGCAAAGUCCUGCAUCUGGAGAGGAACAAGCCCGUGACCAGUGACCAGCACACACG